AAAGGAAUGCCGGGAUUCCUUUCCCGAAGAAGCAGGGAAAUGGACCCUCAUCUCUAGAUGAGGAGGGAGAAACGGGGCUCUUCUUGAAUUGUGGCAGGACCCUCGGUGUUCCUCUCGAGUGGAGACGUGUAUGUCGGGGAACUUCUUGAGUUGCAUUAAGGGUGUCAAGGACCCUUGCGAGGCUAAACACGGAAGGUGGGAUUUCUCUUGAGACGGCGCAGCGGAAAAGAGCCUCAUCUCAAGUUGAGGGGAGAAACUCCUGUUUUUUCUCCAGUUGUGAAAUUAUCCUCGGUGUUCCUCUAGAGUUACAUCAGGGAAGUCAGGGACCCGUUCGUGUUGCCCCAGGAAAGUCCAGUCUCCAUGCGAGUUUCGAGGGGCCUUUCGGGAUUCCUCUCCAGUUGAUGCCGGGUGCUAGGUCCUCAUCUGGAGCUGAGGCCGCAACCUCAGUUUUCCUCUCCAGGACUGAAAUGGAUCUCGGGGUUCCUAAGGAGUUUCAAUAGGAGAGUCAGGCCUUGUCUCGUCAUGCAAGUCUGCUCUCCUCUCGAGCUGUCAAAGAAGUGUCAGGCUUCCUGUCGAGUUGACAAAGUAAUCUGUGGCUUUCUAUCAAGGAGCCACAGGGCUGUCACUCCUGCCAUCGUGUUUUGACUCAAUACUCCAGAUAAACCUGAUUCCCCUGCACUGACUCGACUGUCACGCCGAAAAUCAACUCAAAACACCUUGGCACGUGUGACAGCCCUGUGGCCCCUCAAGAGAGAGCCACAGAUCCCUAUGUCAACUCAGCCGGGACCCUGACACUACUUUUACAGCUCAAGAGGAAAGCGGACUUGCAUGUCUCCAUACAAGACGAGGCCUGACUCCCCUGUGGAAACUCCAUAGGAAUCCUGAGAUCCAUGUCAGUACUGGAGAGAAAUCUUACGUUCUGACCUCAAAAGUAGCAGAGACCAUUGGCCCCUGCGUUGACUGGAGAGGAAUCCCGAGAGGCCCCUCACAACUCGCAUGGAGACUUGACUUUCCUGAGGAAACAUGAUCGGGUACCUGACAUCUCUGUCGUAACUCAAGAGGAACCCCAAGUUUCCUGCCGCAACUCGAGAAAAACCAGGAGAUUCUCCCAUCUAUGCGAGAUGAGGCCCUUUUCGGCUGCAGCAUCUUGAGAGAAAUCCCACAUUCUCUAUUGAGCCUUGAAAGUGUCUUUGACACCCUUGAUGCAACUCAAGCAGUUUUCCUACAUCCCCUUCUCCAAUCGUGAGUAACACCGAGAGUGCCCUGGCACAACUCAAGAAGAGCCCCGUUUUUCCCUCCUCAUCUCGACAUGAGGGUCUGCCUUGAGCCAGCAGAGGAGAUCCCAACCAUGACAAAGGUCAUGAGGACGAGUCCUUACAGCUUUCUUUUCAGGCUGAUCCCUUGGGGUGCAGGUUUCCUCCGUGUUCACUUCUCUGCCAGGGCUUCUAAGACCCAUGAGAGAUGGAGCACAAAGCGGGGCACCAUCCACUAUUCAAGCUCCGGCCGGUGGCCUACGUGAAUCGUGGCCCGUCACCACAGGAUCUCAAAGGAGGAAGCUCCUUCUGAAGCUGAGCCAGAAGGACGCCCUGCAAGCGCUCUUUCAAGCGAAACCCUACCCUCGGAUCGCGACCAGAGAACGGCUGCCCUGGGAGCUUGGCAUUGCCCAAAGCAGAGUUCAGUCUGGUUUCAAAAUCAACGCAGAAGACAGUUAAAGCAGAGCCGAUCGCCGUCUGAAUAUGUGCACCAAGAAGGGGAAGCGGGGCCAACGUCCACGCCCAUGCCACUGACACCCUCUCCUUGACCUCAGUCUUCCUCUCCAGGAGACUCGGCCAGAGAGGCCCGGAGAAAGAGGGCAGUAAUCUCUCUUUCUCAAACAAGGAUCCAUGUGCAAGCCUUCACAGGAGAUCUCUUCCUGGGGAUUGCCGCCAGGGAAGAACUGGCUCUUCAGAUGGGAAUCCCAGAACCUCGAAUCCAGAUAUGGUUUCAAAACCGAAGAGCUCAGCACCACCAGCAGGGCCCGAGCGGGCCCGGCAUGGCCAGGCCCAAGGGCCAGGCAGUGCAGCAGCCAUGACUACUCCUGCUCCAGAGGACCGAAGGGCCCACCCGCUGUCCAGAGCAUCUCUCCUCCCCUUCGCCCCUCCCCGCCACAGGAGAGCAUACCACCCUUGGCGGCCGAAGCUGCUCCUUUUGGGGCCCCCACAUUCUGUGUGCACGGGACUGCCUCUGGGGUCUCUGUGGGCCAUCCGUUGAUGAUCUUCAUAGUCCAGCCCAGCCCAGUGGCUCUCCCGCCAUGCGGGAAGCCACCACCUCUUGCCCAGGUAGCAGUUCCCUGGGCUGCAUGCUCCCCUGCCAUCUUGGCCCCCCGGAAGCCUGGACAAGGGGCCAUCAUGCCUCCUGGACAGCCGGAGGCACACAUCCCGCGCUGGCCAGAGUCAUCCUACAGUGAAGGCACGGCCCCUCAGCUAGAGCCACAGACCCAGCCCCGCAGCCUUCCAAGCCCGACAAGCCUCCUAGACGAGCUCAUGGCCGACACGCGCAUUCCGACUUUGCCAGGACCUUUCCCUAGGGCCGCUGCUGACCAUGGGGUGGACCCUGCCCUCCCAGGCGCACCCAGCCUCCUAGACAAGCUCUUGGCGGCAAUGAGCAUCCCCGCAUCGCUGGGGCCUUCCCCGGGGGCCUCUGCAGUCACAGGGCAACAACAAGCUCUCGCUGGCACACCCAGCCUCUUAGAGCACUGUGGCUUUGCCGCCUUCAGUGGCUUCCUCUCCCCAGGGGCCUAGUGCCUUCUGCCACCAGUAUCCAAGCCACCCCAGGGCCUUCCCUCGGGCCCUGUGCUGAUGAACGGGUACAACUCGCCCUCCCAGGCUCACCGAGACUCCACACGAGUUCCUGGCUUCCCCGGGCAUCCCGGGCACACUGGGUGCUUUUCUGGGGUCCUUUUCAGUCAUCACAGGGGCCCACCCAGCCUUCCCUGGAUCACCCAGCUUCCUAGAGGAAAGCUUGGCUGCCACGGCCACGCGGGACACACCCUGGUCUUCUCCUGGGGCCCCUGCAGGGGACGAGGGAGUUGAGGCCAUCCUAGAAGCAUGCCUCAGUCAGGAGGAUUACCGGGCCCUCCUUGACAUGCUGCCAGGCUCCCCAGGUCCUCGGGCUUAGAGGGAGAGGAAGGGAGGGACACCUUCUUCCCCUGUCCACGUUCAGGUCUCCUUGCCUGCGAUGCUUGGGGAAAGGGGAGGGGGCGGUUUUAUGUGUGGGAAGAGGAGAGAAUACCGACAGGAUGUCUACCAACAAUUCUGGGGACAAACCCGAGAGCUGGAUCUUUGGGAAGCUGGGCCGCACCCCCAAACAGGAACAUCCUACUUGAAGCCUCAAGUAAUCCCUGCAUGGCAGUGACUGAGAGGGUGCCACAGAGGGAACAUUCCAUGGACACAAGACAGAAACCCCGUGCCCCGCACAGGUGCUUUGGGUCUGGCUCUUCUGACUUCUGGUCCCGUCCUUCCAGCAGUCCACCCAGGAGAACUCCUUCCCUACACCAGGAGCAGCAGAGGGAGGGGGAGCGGGAGAGAGGGGAGUGAAUAGGUGGAAAGGUUGGGAGAUGCAAGUUGGGAGGGGCCUAGUGGGUGGUGGGAGUAGGUGGGGGUGAAGGGAGAGAGUGGGGGUGAAGGGAGAGAGGGAGAGAGAAAGAGGGUAGGAGGCAGGGAGAGUUGGGUACAGU
ensembl:lncRNA